UCAGGAUGAACGCUAGCGACAGGCCUAACACAUGCAAGUCGAGGGGGCAGGCGCGGGAGAAGCUUGCUUUCCUGGCGGCGACCGGCGCACGGGUGCGUAACAGGUGUGCAAUCUGUCCAUAGUCGGGGGAUAGCCCAGCGAAAGCUGAAUUAACACUCCAUGUGAAUCGAAGCCGCAUGACUUUGAUUUGAAACGCAAGGACUAUGGGUGAGCACGCUUCUGAUUAGGUAGUUGGUGGGGUAACGGCCCACCAAGCCGACGAUCAGUAGGGGUUCUGAGAGGAAGGUCCCCCACAUUGGAACUGAGACACGGUCCAAACUCCUACGGGAGGCAGCAGUGAGGAAUAUUGGUCAAUGGGCGAGAGCCUGAACCAGCCAAGUCGCGUGAAAAGGAUGAAGGUUCUAUGGAUUGUAAACUUCUUUUGUCCGAGGGUAAAAAAGGUCACGUGUGACUUCUUGCAAGUAUCGGACGAAUAAGCAUCGGCUAACUCCGUGCCAGCAGCUGC
rnacentral:rRNA from 1 species